CUUUCCGUAGGUGAACCUGCGGAAGGAUCAUUAUUGUAUAACCGAGGUGCGAGGGCUGUCGCUGACCCGAAAGGUCGUGCACGCCCGAGUGCCCUCACACACAUCCAUCUCACCCCUAUGUGCACCACCGCGUGGGUCCCCCUUUGGCUUGUUCGGAGGGGGGCUUACGUUUUCACACAAACUUUGUAUGCAGUGUAGAAUGUAUUUUUUGUUUUUGCGAUCACGCAAUCAAUACAACUUUCAACAACGGAUCUCUUGGCUCUC
rnacentral:misc_RNA from 1 species